rnacentral:rRNA from 1 species
GAUGAACGCUGGCGGCGUGCCUAAUACAUGCAAGUCGAGCGAACGGACGAGAAGCUUGCUUCUCUGAUGUUAGCGGCGGACGGGUGAGUAACACGUGGAUAACCUACCUAUAAGACUGGGAUAACUUCGGGAAACCGUAGCUAAUACCGGAUAAUAUUUUGAACCGCAUGGUUCAAAAGUGAAAGACGGUCUUGCUGUCACUUAUAGAUGGAUCCGCGCUGCAUUAGCUAGUUGGUAAGGUAACGGCUUACCAAGGCAACGAUGCAUAGCCGACCUGAGAGGGUGAUCGGCCACACUGGAACUGAGACACGGUCCAGACUCCUACGGGAGUCAGCAGUAGGGAAUCUUCCGCAAUGGGCGAAAGCCUGACGGAGCAACGCCGCGUGAGUGAUGAAGGUCUUCGGAUCGUAAAACUCUGUUAUUAGGGAAGAACAUAUGUGUAAGUAACUGUGCACAUCUUGACGGUACCUAAUCAGAAAGCCACGGCUAACUACGUG